CCCUUCUCCUUCUAAUCUUCUGGAGGAAGAGCAUCCUCAAGGGGCAACACUCCUGGCUUCAGGAUUCCCUAGUGACCUCAUUCAUCUAAGCGGUAGCACUGAUCCAAGUGGGUGGUACCUGUGAUGGUUUGCUCUUGUUGGAAGGGGCAGGGGUGGGGCCAUUCCAACUGUACACAGAGGAAAUGGGAGAAUAGGGUUCUAGGGGAGCAAUCCUCAAGGUAACUUUGGUCUCAAUACCUGCCAGGUCUCCAUUGGUUAAGGUUUUGGCAGCAGCUCUAGGUGCUGGGGUAAACGAGGAAGGAGAGGAGGGAGGAGGCUCGUAGUUGAGCCUCCAGAGUCAACAAAGGCAUAAAGGGGGUUCUAAGUAGGCGAGCCUGGUGGAGAUCCAAGAUCCUCAUCAGGGGCCAAGAGGAAGAGGCCUGAGUCAAGGUCUGGCCUCAGAGAGACUGCCAGAUUUGUUGGGAAAGAUCAUAUUGGGUCACCCAAUGGGCUAAGGCAGCCAUGAGAAAAAAAUUGCCAUGAUGGGAAAGAGGUUCUGGCCAUGGGCUCUCUUGCUCCCACAGAUGCCUGCGUGGGCAAGGAGAGGCGGGUUCGAGGUCCUGGUUAAGUCAGAACUGCAGAUCUCAUGCAGAGUAAACAUCUCCAUUACCCUCUAAAUGGAAAAUAGAGCAGACUCGACAAUAGAAAGAAUUCUGAGUGCAAAAGGUACAACGGGUUAUAGAAUCAAGGUGAGUCAGAAGGCUCUUAGCUUCCACUGGGAGCUGCUGGUGAAGAAAAGAGUAAAGGGAGAAAUUUCAGGCCAUUCUGGGUGACAUUCCUGAGGACCUGAUUGUGAGCUGCCUCCUAGGGAGGGAUACCCUGCAAGGUGAGCACAAGUGGGGACUACCUCUGGCUAGAUCUGGUGGAUCUCUCACGGCCAAGGGGAUCAUUAGAUGAGGUCUCUGGAGGAUCUCCCCAGAACAGGUAGAGGGGAAGGGAAGCCUACUAUAACAGCAGUCUUAAGAUCAGUGGCCAUCCUAUUGACUUUUAACUGGCUGCCCCAGGCCAAGCAUUUGAUAGUGAUGAGAAGGGUCUGAUUAGCUGAACUACAGAUAAUACAAAAAGUCUACAUAUCCCCCCAGCCCAUGUUAUUUAAGCCUGAACUCUAUCAUUACCUAAGGGGAUAAUUCUAACGUCACCAUAAAGAUUUAUUUGUUUAACUCAGAAGCACAGAGGGAAAAUUAUUUUUCCUCUCCCAUAUUUCCAGUUUGUAAAAUCAGUCCUAGAGCACAAAAAGAGAUAGGAAGUUGCUUGACUCAUUUAGAAGGUAAGCAAUAACAAUGGUCAUGGAUUGGAAGACUCAAUAUUGUAAAGAUAUGAGGUCUCCCCAGAUUAAUCUAUAGAUACAAAGCAAUCCCAAUCAAAAUCCCAGUAGGUUUUAUUUUCGUAACUGAAACUGACAGACCAAUUCUAACAUUCAUUUGGAAAUACAAAAGACCAAGAAUAGUCAAGGCAACGGUGAAAGAAAAUAAAGCUGGAGGGUUUCAUCCUACCAGAUACUAAGACCUAUUAUAAAGUUAUAUGUGGAAAGGAUAGUCUGUUCAGUAAAUGCUGGGUUUAUUUUACUGACACCAUGUGGGAAAAAAGUAUGUUGAACUUAUUUCAUACCAUUAAAAAAAAUCAGUUCCAGAUGUAUGGCAGAUCUAAAUGCAAAAGGUAAAAAAAAAAGCUUUUAGAGAAAAUAUCUUUGUGACCUUAGAGUAGACAAAUAUUUCUUUAAAAGCACUCAUCAUAAAACAAAAAUGUUUAAUUGGAUUAUAACAAAGUUAGGAGCUUCUAUUCUCUGAAAGACACUAUUAAAAGAGUGCCACACAUAGCGUAAGAUAUUUGAGGUACACAUAUCCAACAAGGACUUGUAUGUUGUAUAUGUGCAGUCUUUCAAAUUGGUAACAAAAAGAGAUAAACCAAUAGAAAAAUAUGGAAAAAACUUGAGUUGGCUUCAUGUAAGUGCAAGGGUCCAUAAACAUAUAAAAAGACUCAAUUUCUUUUUCAGGGAAAUGCAAAUUGAAGCUUAGAAAAGAUAAGGGUACACAUCCACCAGAAUGCUGAGUGAAAUUGGCAAUUGUUGGUGAGCCAGAGCCACUGGACCUCUCAUGCACUGCUAGGAGUAUAAACUGGUACAACCACAUUGGAAUAAUGUUCAGCAAUAUCUACAAAAGGUGAAUGUAUACAA